GACCCAGCCCUCAAACAGGUCAGUUUUUCAAAUAAAGAAAUCAGGCCAGGUUCAGUGGCUGAUGUCAGGGAUCUCAGCACUUUAGGAGGCUGAGGCAGGAGAAUUACUUAAGGUCAGGAGUUUGAGACCAGCCUGGGAAGCAUAGCAAGAUCCCUCUCUACCAGAAAAAUAACAAAAAUUAGCAGGGCAUGGGAGCGUACACCUGUGGUCCCAGCUACCCUGGAGGCUGAGGUGGGAGAUUCAUUGAGCUUAGGAGUUAGAGGUUAUAGUGAGCUAUAAUCAUGCCACUGCAUUCCACUCUGGAGGACAGAGUAUAGGCCCUGUCUGCUUAAAAAAAAAAAAAAAGUGUUCAAAUUUGUUCAGUCCUUGAGGGUUAAAAAUAGCAGAGUCCUAAUUGGGUGAUUUCCAAGCCCCAACUAGAAGUCUCUGUUGGUCAACCCUUUUGGGCCACUGGAGGGAGAAGUUUUCCAACUACAGUGUCUCUAUCUUAGCUCAGAAGCACAGACAAGAGGUUAGAUAAGAAUCACAUAUUUUAAUACGGUUCAUCAAGAGCUAUACAUGUUCACCGUGUCCCUUCCCCCAGAUUUAGUCAUUUUUACCUAUUCAAUUAUAAAUAGGAUUGGGAAAAUAGUGCUAGUCCAGGAAAAUGAGAAGAAAAAUACUGGUGAUCACUAAUAAUGUCUACGUCACUGAUAUUAAAGUUUCCUAUUAAUAAAAAUGUUGGUAUAACCAUUUAAUUUGGCAUUCUUUGAUGUAUUUGGCAGGCUAUAUGAGAAAAUAUGGGGGUGUGAUCCAGGCAUUGAUAUAUAUUGUAAAGCUAUCCAGAGGUGAUUUUCAACUGGUAUCUGCAACUUUCCCACCACUGAUAAGCAAAUAGAAGACCCUGUAAUGGGCUGGGUGUGGUGGCUCACAACUGUAAUCCCAGCACUUUGGGAGUCCAAGGUGGGUGGAUCACCUGAGGUAAGGAGUUCAAAACCAGCCUGACCAACAUGAUUAAACCCGGUCUCUACUAAAAAUACAAAAAUUAGCUGGGUGUGGUGAUGGUGCCUGUAGUCCUAGCAACUCGGGAGGCUGAGGCAGGAGAAUCCCUUGAAUCUAGGAGGUGGAGGUUGCAGUGAGCCGAGAUAGCACCAUUGCACUCCAGCCUGGGUGACAAGAGUGAAACUCAGUCUCAAAAAAAAAAAAAAAAAGGAAAAGACUCUGUAAUGUAGUAAACACCCUCCCAUCCCCUGGCCUGUUCUUAAAUUAUACCCAGGACUUAAUUUAUAGAGGUAUGACUGAGUGACAACAUGGACAGUUCAAUGUCAUUGAAAGAGAAAUUUGAUACUUAACACUUCAGAAAAAAAAGGACAUCCAAUGCCAUGCAAACCAAGGGAGGAAUCAUCAGGUUUUGAUAGGAGGUAGAAGCAGGAGAAAGGGGAAAGGCCAUUAUUAAGGUUUCAACAGGAAAUGCAAAUCAGUGUAGAAUAAACUGUUUCAGGUCAACUACUUUUGAAUAAUCCCCUGAGGCUUCUUUGCCCCGAGAUCAUUAGGCCUUGGUGAAAUAUUAGGUUGGUGCAAAAGUAAUUGUGGAUUUUGCUAUUAUUAAUAGGCUUGGUGUGUGAGAGUUAGGUGAAAAGAUGAUUAAGGCUAAAGCCUCUGAAUUGGUUAAUUUGCAUAUGAAAGCCUUGCUCCUGGUCAAGCGCAGUUAACACUUGACUAAGGAUCAUAUAGGGCCUGGGAAGGGCAUUUUCUCUCUGAUUCAGUGUUGAUAUUAAGAAUUUCUAUAUCAGAUGGCUAUAUAAAAAGAUUUCAAGGGGUUCACAAACCUCCAGCAAUUAUAUGCAAAUUUGCCUUUUGCCUAUAUAUGUGUGUACAUUUUUUUCAUAGUAGUGAGCAAAAAGAAUUUUUAAAAAUUAUUAUUAUGCUUUAAGUUCUGGGGUACAUGUGCAGAAUGUGCAGGUACAUAGGUAUACACGUGCCAUAGUGGUUUGCUGCACCUGUCAACCUGUUAUCUACAUUAGUUGUUUCUCCUAAUGCUAUCCCUCCCCUAACCCCCACCCCCCAACAAGGCCCUGUGUGUGAUGCUCUCCUCCUUGUGUCCAUGUGUUCUCAUUGUUCAACUCCCAUUUAUGAGUGAGAACAUGUGAUAUUUGGUUUUCUGUUCUUGUGUUAGUUUGCUGAGAACAAUGGUUUCCAGCUUCAUCCAUGUCCCUGCAAAGGACAUGAACCCAUCCUUUUUUAUGGCUGUAUAGUAUUCCAUGGUGUAUAUGGAGCACAUAGAAUUUUAUGUGUAAUGGACACAGGGAGAGGAACAACACACACCAGGGACAGUUGAGGGGUUGGGGGUGAGGAGAGAGAACUUAGAGGGUGGGUCAAUAGGUGUAGCAAACCACCAUGACACAUGUAUACCUAUGUAACAAACCUGCACGUUCUGCACAUGAAUCCUGGAACUUAAAGUAAAAUUUAAAAAACUAAUAAAAAACAAAAAAACAGAAAUGUUAAAAAUAAUAAUAAUAAAAGAAUUUU
ensembl:lncRNA